rnacentral:rRNA from 1 species
GACGAACGCUGGCGGCACGCUUAACACAUGCAAGUCGAACGAGAGAAGAGAAGCUUGCUUUUCUGAUCUAGUGGCGGACGGGUGAGUAACACGUGAGCAAUCUGCCUUUCAGAGGGGGAUACCGAUUGGAAACGAUCGUUAAUACCGCAUAACAUAAUUGAACCGCAUGAUUUGAUUAUCAAAGAUUUAUCGCUGAAAGAUGAGCUCGCGUCUGAUUAGCUAGUUGGUAAGGUAACGGCUUACCAAGGCGACGAUCAGUAGCCGGACUGAGAGGUUGAUCGGCCACAUUGGGACUGAGACACGGCCCAGACUCCUACGGGAGGCAGCAGUGGGGAAUAUUGCACAAUGGAGGAAACUCUGAUGCAGCGAUGCCGCGUGAGGGAAGAAGGUUUUAGGAUUGGAAACCUCUGUCUUCAGGGACGAAAAAAGACGGUACCUGAGGAGGAAGCGCCGGCUAACUACGUG